GACGGGUGAGUAACACGUGAGCAACCUGGCUCUAAGAGGGGGACAACAGUUGGAAACGACUGCUAAUACCGCAUAACGUAUCGGGAUGGCAUCUUCCUGAUACCAAAGAUUUUAUCGCUUAGAGAUGGGCUCGCGUCUGAUUAGAUAGUUGGCGGGGUAACGGCCCACCAAGUCGACGAUCAGUAGCCGGACUGAGAGGUUGAACGGCCACAUUGGGACUGAGACACGGCCCAGACUCCUACGGGAGGCAGCAUG
rnacentral:rRNA from 1 species